rnacentral:tRNA from 1 species
AUUUAAGUAGCUUAUAUUUUAGAGCAUGGUUUUGAAGCAGCUAGGGAAAUUGUUAAUAAUUCUUAAAUA